UCAUUCUUGUGUAACAAUCCAUUCAGCUCUUGUUUUCAUUACAUCAGAUCUUGAACUAACUUGGUAACUUUCAGCAGCUGAGAAUUAGGGAAGGACAGUUUUGUUUAAUCUCACUGGAGAAAGGUCAGUCUUUGCCAACAAAACUAUUUCCUCUUCUACUAAUAUAAGACCUAGUUAGGCAAACGGAAUUGAGUAGAACUUGCCAGCUUUAACAAUCAAGCCUUAGUUAAAAAUCAAACAAACAAACAAAACGAAAAAACGGUUAUUUCCUACAAUCAAAGGGCUUUUUCCUACGAGCAAAAUCCAAGCAACAGUUCUCUUGAAGACUGGGGCUACACAGGAGUUCAAGGAUACCGUGAGUAAUACCGACGCUUAUGAGAAAUAAAAGUAACAAGGGGAAUUUCAACUUUAAAAGAGGAACCUUUGGGGCAAAAGCUGCAUAUGUGCAUUUGCAAGAGGGCAGUGUUGAUUUUUUCCAUCCAAGUCUUUCAGCAUGUAGUGGAGAACAGAGGAAAGAAUGAACAUUUAUAUCAUCAAGAUCCGUGCUGGAGUAUUUUGCUGCCUUUGAGACAGGAAGCCUGAAGAAAGAAAUUAGAGAUACAUUCCCUUUGAUUGUGGAGGAAGAAUUUUGCUUGCAGAGGCAGUGGAAUGCUUCAUGAUCUUUGGACCAAAGCCUUCUGGACCGUGCCUGAAAGAACUUGCAUCAGCUGAUUAAGGACAUCCUUUAAAUAAAGAAAGAGAGUUUUCUCACAACACUGCAGUUUACUGACCCACAUCAUGGUUCAGCAACUGCCUCUGAAGCAGCUCAUCUAAGAGCAACAGAAGUCACACUGUGAUCUCCCUCUCCAGGACGCGUGGAAAUCCUGAAGGAUCUUGGAGCCCUCAACACGCAGGCAGUCCUGUAACCACCAUCUGGAAGACAGCAGCCAGGAAAAUCUGUGGGACCUUUGAGACUUUUAUCUUCAGCUCCAAAGCUAACCCAUAAAGAAAGGCAUGGAGAAAGUGUUAUCUGUUGUGGGUUUUUGUGUGUGUGCAUUUUUUUUUUCCCUUGAGUUUUGUUUUUCUCUCUUAUUUUCAUUUCCAGUUUUGGUCUUUGCUCCUAUGAGAAUGUCAUUGCAAAACAUGCCUUGUUAUAGCAGAACAGUCAUUUAUAUUUCCAGUUGCUAAACUGUUUCUAGUUCUCUUCUUCUAAACCUUCACUAGAUCCAAAAGCCAGGCUUAUUGUGUUGGUUAUUUUCCUUUGUUUGACUAGAAGCAAAAAUUCUUAUUCACACGAGAAAAACAUGACUGAUGAGAAAGAGCUCCUGCAGGUUUCUGUGGCAUAGGCACAGGCAAGUUGGCAUAGGCAAUUUUAUUUAGACAAUUAGUUGUGUGGUUCAACUAAGUGGGGCCCAGCCGAGAUAAACGUUCACCCAUAGCAGGGUGGUUUGUGCUGUGGUUCAUGGAGCAGAAGGAGAAUGAUCUCUGCUUAUAGCAAUGGAUCCUGCACAAGCACCCUCUCUUCUGCUAUGACUUUGGUGAUAUCUCACUGAUCACAAAGAAUGUUAUCGGUAUUCUCUGGCGCAUCUCUCUCCUCUUUCCUAAGAAAAGGCUGAAUCUGGAAAAAAUAUGGUUUUGUAUUUUGCAGUACACACACAGAAAGCACAACAGCUGACUGAGGGAAAUUCUGUGUUAAACAGAAAAAUACACUUGCUCCCAGAAAUCUGUGGUAAAAAAGAUCAAAGUGUACAAGCUUAAAAUAAAACAUGGCAAAAAAAAGGGGAAACCAAAAGACAGCAAUCACACUUCUUUUUUCAUGUGAGAGCUGAAGAGUUUUUAC